AAUGAAGGGAUUGUAAAAUCUUCAAGAGGGAAUUGACAGGAUGAAAUAAAUCAGCAGGAGAAAGUCCUGUUUGCAAUGAAGUUUUGGACUACAACUCUAGGUACAGAGCUACACGCUGCAUCCUUCACCUAGGACGUGACACAGAUUCGAGUGGAAAAUACCAAGGACAGAUUACUUAGAUUGAUCUGGAUCUUCUAUUUUGUUGCAGUCGUGCAGUCUUGAGUCUUAAAGCCGGAGGGAGUCACUAGAACAAGAGGAAGUGCUGCCUGGCAGCUGCAGUGCAUUGCAGGUUCCUCUGAAGCAGCUGGCACAGGUCACUGUGGGAGAGAGAAUAUUUGACUAGAUGGACCAUGGGUCUGAUCUGCUCAGACGAUUCCUAUGACAUAAAUGGUCCUUGUCCCAAACACAGAAAAGCUGGAAAGCUAGAAAGAGCUGACUAGGAUGACUGGGGUUCCAUUGUAUCAGAUGUCGUACAACUACCUGAAAGACUUGGUAUCUGACCCAUGACUUACAACCCAAUUCAAGACAAGACACAACAAGAGAGUGUAACCAACAAGAAAAGGGUAACAAACAGCUAGUAUAUGUGCCUAACUUGAUCUAUUUACUUGAUGGUUCUGAAUCAUUCCGUUUUUAAUAUAAAUAUA